CCUUUAUAUUGGCUCCCCAUGCAUAUCCUAUGUAAUUAACUACGUAUAAUAUAUGAUUAUCGCCGCGUCAAAUUAAUUGAAAAUUACUUAUUGUUAUCAAAAGGACGCUAAGUCUUAAUUAUCAUGAACAAGUCAAACUAGAAUAAGGGGCAAAGCAGUAAGGUUUAAGAUGGAAUGGACAAGUUCAAUUUGCCUAGAAGCAACGCACAAUUUUCUUCUUAUAAUCAUCGGAUAUCUGAAAUUCACUAAUACCACUAUUUUAAAUUUCGUAUCGUAUAUGUCCCAUUUAAGGGGAAGAGCUCUAUCAGUUGCGAUUUCUCUAUUCUUAAAGCUCCAACGUAUCUAAUUAAGGGGUGGAGGAAUCCAAUCCACCCUAUCGUACUUCUUGAUGGUCAAUGCACGUACAUAUGUAAUAGCUAAGAAAUUA
rnacentral:lncRNA from 1 species